UAAAUUCUAUAAAUUGAUAGAAAAUUCACUUUAAGACUUAAAAGCUUCUUGUGCUUAUUUUGAAAAUGAAACAGUGCUUUGUAAAUUGUAUUGUGAUACUAUACUUUUUAGUUUUUCUUCAAAAUUCGAAUGCAUCAGAAGACUUGGAAACAAAUUUAUUUAAUCAUCCAUGGCUGAAGGAUCCUAGCGAUUAUGAUAAUGAUGGAUGGCAACACUAUCCGCAUUCAAAUUAUGAUGAAUUGGAAGAAGAUGUAAACAUACACUACAUACAUACACAUGAUCAGCCUGUACAACUUUCGUUACCACAAAUAUUGCCACUUAUACCGGUGCUUCAACUUUAUCCGGAAACACAAAUUUCUCCUCCACCGAUCACCUUCGUGUAUUGAAACCCCCAAAAAACAUGAUUGGAAACAGAUAUUAAAAAUAAGUUUUGUUUUCGACACUAACUAUUGCUGAAUGUACGAACGAAUAAGCCAAUAAUUUUGGGUAAAAUUUUGUAGUUCAAUAAGUUUCAACUACAUAUACGGUUUAUAUGUAAAUAAUAUACUUCUUCAACAUACAAGAUAAGUUCAAAAUAAAUUUGAAUUUUAUUCAAUUAUAUUUUAGAGGCAGUGUACCUUUGAAAAAAUCUAUACUUAAGGCCAGUUCGAGAAGAAGGGAGAAAAUCCCUCAAUCUCGAGACUGCAAAAGUACAAAACCUAAUUUUGAGAUUA